UUGUAUUUAUCAUCUUUUGUGUAGCAGGUUUGAAGAAUACUUUAUUUCCCAGAAUGCAUUGUGGGUAGAAUAUGGGUGUGUCCCGUUCCAUUCAAUUUAGUUGAAUUAAAACUCAUGCUCAUGAACUGAAAGGAGGUUCUGGAUGAUGCAUGUUAUAUUGCACAGCUUUUGUCCUACAGGUGACAGGGAUGUCAUACACAGGACAAAAGUUUUGUUUCCCAAGCUUUUCAACACUUUAAUGACACGUAGAACAGCCAGGUUUCCUGUGCUGAUUUACUGUGUGUGUGUGUGUGUGUGUGUGUGUGUGUGUGUGUGUGUGUGUGUGUGUGUGUGUGUGUGUUUGAAGUGGAGGCUGUAAUCACCCGUGGGCUUCUCUCUGUGAUCAGAGCCAACUCAAGAGAUGAUAAACACACGCCUGGAGGAAUCACACAUCAAAUAUUGACACAACUCCUCACACACACACACACACACACACACACACUUCAGAUCAAAACACCAGUCAUUCACAGGAAACUUCAGUCUCCUGCUUCUCAGAUGUUUCUCCUAAAAACACCCCACUAGUCUCACAUAUGACUUUCACUCAUCUCAGCAAUGUCUCAAACUGAGCUCAGUCUGCUUAUUUUUACUCGCCCACUUUUUAGUUAUCAUACCAAUAAUAAAAGUAUUUUUGUGCAAAUAACAAGAUGAAUGUAUUUUCUGUCAGUGUAUUGAAUAGGAUUUUAUUUUGUCUUACUGAAAUCACAACAUUUUCUCUUGUUUUAGGUAUAAAAAUAAGUUGCACACAAGUCUUAAUAACUUAUGCAGUGAUGUCAUUAGUAAAUUGAUCUUGAUUUAAAUGUUAAGAAUUUUUUUAUUGGAAAAAGUCAUAAAACUAGCUAAUCUUAAAAGUUAACAGAAAUACGCUUUAAUAACAAUUUGCCAACUUUCCCGUUGAGUUAUAAACAAUGUUAUUUUUUAAUGUUCUCUAGAUGUAAAAAGUCCAGUAAACUAAAAAGUAAACAUAAACUUUUAUUUUGGAUGCGAUUAAUCACGAUUCAUCUUUUGACAGCACUUAUUUAGAGCAGCUUCACAGUAAUAAACAAGAACACAACAUUGUUAAACGUUUGAAGUGUGUUAUGUGCGAGAGAUGAAACGUGUCCAGCAGGGUUUAGUGCCUGUGGCCGCUGCGCUGCUCACACACACACACACUCACACACACACAUACACUCGUUUGUUUUUGUGAAAAGUGUGUUUUUUGUGAAAUAUUAUUGCAUUUUAAAAUAAGAGUUUUCUAUUUUAAUAUACUUUAAAAUAUAAUUUUUUCCUGUUAAACAAAGCUGUAUUUCCUGCAUCAUUACUCCAGUCUACAGUCACAUGAUAAUUAAAAAACAUAACUUUAUAGUGACACAAAAGUUUCUUCUGCUCAUCAAGGCUGCAUUUAUUUGAUCAAAAAUACAGAAAUAAAAAUGUAAUUUUCUGAAAUAUUAAUACAAUUUAAAAAAAAGCAUAACUUUAUAGCGAAACCAACUCUAUAGUGGUUUGCCCGAGCAUUGCAAUUAUUUUCCAUUUACAAGAAUUCAUUUUAAUGUUGAUGCUUCCCAUGUUGAAGCAUGGGCACUUUUCAUCUUUUCAUAUGUGGUGUAAAGGGAUUUUACAUGUGCCAAAAAUAUAAGUUUCGGGGUCUUACUAUUAAAAAUAAAUAAGCAAGUCCAGCUCAGUUGACAAGUAGUAAAAUAAUGCAUUACUUCACACAACUACAGUUAGUUUUAAUGGCAUAAUGCAAUAUUACAAUGCAUUACUUUUAAAGUAUAACUUUACUCAACACUGUAUUUAGAAAGCCUAAAGCAUGUGUUUCUUUUAGCAAGUGCAAAUGUGAUGGAGAUGCUGUUCUCACAGUGUGCUAGUUGACUUCCACCUGCUCUCACUCAGGUCCUCCUGCUGAGGUCACAGGGCGUCGGGAGCAGUUCAGGUGCACUUCGUUCCCAGAGCAAUUGACCAAUCAUGUCUUCACCUGGGGCUAAGAGGGGUCCCGGGGUUAAGGCGAUCUAAUGGAUCGGCCUGGCGGGAGAAAUGGAUGAAGAUUGAGGAGCUCUUCUCCUCUCCAGACGAAUGGGGUCUCAUGUCACUGGUCUGAUUGAAUCCGGCUGGUUCGGUGAAGUUUGCUUCUGUACGAGAAGACACACGCUGAAGUGGAAGAUCUCUGAAAACAACAUUCACACGUCUUCAUUUGUAUGAAAAUAAUUCUUCAUGUCAGAUAUGAGUUUCUGGAGCCCUGCGGGACAUUACAUGCGUCUUACAUCAACAUCAACUGCUCUGCUGUGCUGAAAACAGGAAAAAACCCUCCAGAAAACAAGAAAGACUCCUGCAGGAUCCACUCAUGGAGCUGUUGACGAGAUCAGCUGCUCUCUCCAGCACAUUAAGGGUUAAAGAGACGCUUGUUUGGCCCAUCAACACCUUCCUCGGCGAGUAGACGCUCAC